rnacentral:rRNA from 1 species
UACGUAGGGGGCAAGCGUUGUCCGGAUUUAUUGGGCGUAAAGAGCGUGUAGGCGGCCAGAUAGGUCCGUUGUGAAAACUCGAGGCUCAACCUCGAGACGCCGAUGGAAACCAUUUGGCUAGAGUCCGGAAGAGGAGAGUGGAAUUCCUGGUGUAGCGGUGAAAUGCGUAGAGAUCGGGAAGAACAUCAGUGGCGAAGGCGGCCUGCUGGGCUGUUGCUGACGCUGAGGCGCGACAGCGUGGGGAGCAAACAGG